UCUGCCUCUAGAGGGGUUACAGGUGGGUGCUGGGUCACAUGCACAUCAGUAGGAGGCAGAGAGGAGAGAGGCUAAUCUACUCUGAGUGUGCUGACCUGUGAACAUCUGAGUCAUUAGCAGUCUAAAGGU